CGGCGGACGGGUGAGUAACGCGUGGGUAACCUGCCUCAUACAGGGGGAUAACAGCUGGAAACGGCUGCUAAUACCGCAUAAGCGCACAGUACCGCAUGGUACCGUGUGAAAAACUCCGGUGGUAUGAGAUGGACCCGCGUCUGAUUAGCUAGUUGGUGGGGUAACGGCCUACCAAGGCGACGAUCAGUAGCCGACCUGAGAGGGUGACCGGCCACAUUGGGACUGAGACACGGCCCAA
rnacentral:rRNA from 1 species